UCACAUCGACGGGGAGGUUUGGCACCUCGAUGUCGGCUCAUCGCAUCCUGGGGCUGAAGCAGGUCCCAAGGGUUUGGCUGUUCGCCAAUUAAAGCGGUACGUGAGCUGGGUUUAAAACGUCGUGAGACAGUUUGGUCCCUAUCUGUCGUGGGCGUAGGAUAUUUGAGAGGAGCUGUCCCUAGUACGAGAGGACCGGGAUGGACGAACCUCUGGUGUGCCAGUUGUUCCGCCAGGAGCACAGCUGGGUAGCUAUGUUCGGAAGGGAUAACCACUGAAAGCAUCUAAGUGGGAAGCCCCCCUCAAGAUAAGAUAUCCCGGACCGCAAGGUCCCUGAAGGCCCCUCGGAGACUACGAGGUUGAUAGGUCGGAGGUGUAAGGGCAGCAAUGUCUUGAGCUUACCGAUACUAAUCGGCCGUGCGGCUUGGUCAUAAAA
rnacentral:rRNA from 1 species